rnacentral:rRNA from 1 species
GGGGAAUAUUGGACAAUGGGCGAAAGCCUGAUCCAGCAAUGCCGCGUGAGUGAUGAAGGCCUUAGGGUUGUAAAGCUCUUUUACCCGGGAUGAUAAUGACAGUACCGGGAGAAUAAGCCCCGGCUAACUCCGUGCCAGCAGCCGCGGUAAUACGGAGGGGGCUAGCGUUGUUCGGAAUUACUGGGCGUAAAGCGCGCGUAGGCGGCUUUGUAAGUUAGAGGUGAAAGCCCGAAGCUCAACUUCGGAACUGCCUUUAAGACUGCAUCGCUUGAACACGGGAGAGGUGAGUGGAAUUCCGAGUGUAGAGGUGAAAUUCGUAGAUAUUCGGAAGAACACCAGUGGCGAAGGCGACUCACUGGACCGUUGGUGACGCUGAGGUGCGAAAGCGUGGGGAGCAAAC